UGCUCACUGCUGCCACUGUUCUUCAUCACACCACCCUCGCCCUCCUCAUCCUCAGCUCCGCGAGAGCGCCGCUUAGGCAGGUUGAUCCUGCAGGUAGGACGUCCAGGCUGUUGAAGAUGUGGAUAUCACAUCGCCAUCUGUACUGGGACAAAUCCACUCCUAGCCAAGCGUGACAGAUCAGUAGCUGACAAGGCUGAAUGUGACACCUGAUCUUCACCUGCCGCACAGCGAAAGCAGCACAUCAGCAGCUGCAGUCAUUUAUCUGUCUACAGUGAACCUGUUCAACCAUGGGACUUCUGUAAGCUAAGAAGUGUUCUGACAAAGCUCAAUGCACCAUCAUGCAUCUAAGAAACAAGUGAAGUGUAUUGUAUUGUGCACAUAAAGGCAACACUGGUUUGAGAAAGGGACAGGUCUGAUCUUAAACAUCUUAAAAAAGAUUUUCAUCACACAUCCCACAACACAUUAAAAUCCCAGGUAAAGCAAACCCAAAACACAAAGUCCUCAAAAGACCUGGUCACGAGACUAACUGAUUAAGAUCAACCUCAACUGCACUGAUACAGAUCCGCCUCAGACCAGCACUGCUUCAACCCCCCACCCCCCAGAGUAAAGCAAAUUAUUAAACAAACAAGAGAUUUCUAUCUGGAACACUGAGCAAAUAAGAUCCAAAAAUAGACUAACAUCUUCUCCUCUUUUUUUAAUUUAUUUUUUUAUAAAUAGGGCCUGAAACUGUGAAUACGUACUGGAAAGCCAGAUAGAGGAGGGCAAAGCUGUUGACUGAACACGAGCAGAUACAAUAGGAAAUUAUAACUUAGGGUAAUUCAAUAAUCAUGGCUCCUUAAUGCAAUGACCAAUGACUAGAUUGUACCAAACAGUGAAGGUCUCGUUACGUGCUGAUGUCAGACUUGGAAAUAAACACCUGUGUUUUUCAAUG